rnacentral:miRNA from 1 species
CCGUUCCCCACAGGGAUGUGGGGUAUCUCACUGGGGCCUCCAAAUGUUAUGGGUUCAAUCAGUGAGAUAGACCACUGACUCAGAAUUUAAAUUUAGGAGUCUUUAUUA